CUGCUGCCUCCCGUAGGAGUCUGGUCCGUGUCUCAGUACCAGUGUGGGGGACCUUCCUCUCAGAACCCCUAGACAUCGUCGCCUUGGUGGGCCGUUACCCCGCCAACAAGCUAAUGUCACGCAUGCCCAUCCGUCUCCGGAGUUGCCUCCUUUGGCCGAAAGAAGAUGCCUCCCCUCGGCCACAUGCGGUAUUAGGCCGGAUUUCUCCGGGUUAUCCCGCUGAAACGGGCAGGUUGCAUACGCGUUACUCACCCGUGCGCCGGUCG
rnacentral:rRNA from 1 species